UGCAGUCGACGAUGAAGCCUAGCUUGCUAGGUGGAUUAGUGGCGCACGGGUGAGUAAUAUAUAGAUAAUGUGCCUCUUAGUCUGGGAUAGCCAUUGGAAACGAUGAUUAAUACUAGAUACUCCUUCUCAUUCUAAUGUGAGUUGGGAAAGUUUUUCGCUAAGAGAUCAGUCUAUAUCCCAUCAGCUUGUUAGUAGUGUAAGAGACUACCAAGGCAAUGACGGGUAGCGGGUUUGAGAGGAUGAUCCGCCACACUGGUACUGAGACACGGACCAGACUCCUACGGGAGGCAGCAGUGAGGAAUAUUGCACAAUGGGGGAAACCCUGAUGCAGCAACGCCGCGUGGAGGAUGACGCAUUUCGGUGUGUAAACUCCUUUUAUGAGUCAAGAAAAUGACGGUAGCUCAUGAAUAAGCACCGGCUAACUCCGUGCCAGCAGCCGCGGUAAUACGGAGGGUGCAAGCGUUAUUCGGAAUCACUGGGCGUAAAGGACGCGUAGGCGGGUUGUCAAGUCUGAUGUGAAAUCCUAUGGCUCAACCAUAGAACUGCAUUGGAAACUGGCAACCUAGAGUAUGGGAGGGGGAGAUGGAAUUAGUGGUGUAGGGGUAAAAUCCGUAGAUAUCACUAGGAAUACCGAAAGCGAAGGCGAUCUCCUGGAACAUUACUGACGCUAAGGCGUGAAAGCGUGGGGAGCAAACGGGAUUAGAUACCCCGGUAGUCCACUGCAGUCGACUGCAGUCGACUGCAGUCGACUGCUAGU
rnacentral:rRNA from 1 species